rnacentral:rRNA from 1 species
UGGGGAAUAUUGGACAAUGGGCGCAAGCCUGAUCCAGCCAUGCCGCGUGAGUGAUGAAGGCCUUAGGGUUGUAAAGCUCUUUCACCCACGACGAUAAUGACGGUAGUGGGAGAAGAAGCCCCGGCUAACUUCGUGCCAGCAGCCGCGGUAAUACGAAGGGGGCUAGCGUUGUUCGGAAUCACUGGGCGUAAAGCGUACGUAGGCGGACCGUUAAGUCGGAGGUGAAAGCCUGGGGCUCAACCCCAGAAUUGCCUUCGAUACUGGCGGUCUCGAGUCCGGGAGAGGUGAGUGGAACUGCCAGUGUAGAGGUGAAAUUCGUAGAUAUUGGCAAGAACACCAGUGGCGAAGGCGGCUCACUGGCCCGGUACUGACGCUGAGGUACGAAAGCGUGGGGAGCAAACA